CCUUUGGUACGUCUUUAUGGCGGUCUAAUCCUUGAACGCGUUUUGAAUUGACCUCAAUUUGUUUUUCCUUACUUCCCUUGUAAGUAUCUGUUUGUAAACUAUUAAUUCAAUUCAUUUCUGUCUCGGUAACAGGCAAUUUUUAUUAUAAAACCAACCAGCUAAUACCUUUUACUACAACAAGAACAACAUUAUUAGUCAUAAUCAUCUUCAGAAACUAUCUUGUUCAUUAACUAAAAGAUCAUGGCUCAAUCUCAAGCUGCACCAGCUGUCGAAGGAUACCCACCACCUGGUGCUUUUGUUGCACCACCACCUGCCGGAUAUCCAGGUACCGAGUAUGCCGCUCAGCAACAAUCUCAAGCUCCCGGAGCAACCACUGACAGAGGUGAUGGAUUCUUGAAAGGAUGUUGUGCUGCUAUUUGCUGUUGUUGCGUCUUGGAUGCUUGCUUUUAAUCAGAUUUCUUCCCUAUACAGACUUAUCAUCACUGGAUGCUGAUUUCACGUUGUUUUUAAGUACACUUUAUUCUUAUGCUGGGACAUAUUUCCUUUUUUCAUUGUAAUUACAGAGAGAUUGUUUUUAUGAUAUGAGACUGAUUGAUUUCUUUUUAUUUUGCAUUGCCAUC